AUAGUCUCUCUCUUUGUUUCUUCUUGGCUGGUUGUUUAUCGAAUACAUUUUAGCGCCCCCUACUGUUUAAAAGGUUCACUUUCAUGAAGAAUAAUAAUAGUAGGUUAUUUUUUUAGCUUCAGUUAUUUUCAUGAAGAAUGGUUGCCAUUGGUAUAUUUGUUAGCUUCAGUUAUUAACUUAAGAUGAUUGAUUUGUUUCUAACGUUUUUUUUUAUGGAUCUUAUGGACCCUUUAAUGAUCUUUUAAGCAUGUAAAAGGUUUCAGUUUGAGUAACAAUACAGAGUUUUUGUAGGCUAAAUUGCUGGUUGAAUCAAAUUAUUUGUGAUGAAAUGUCUAUGGUAUUGUAUUCCACUUGUCUAAUCAAGCUUCAGACCUUAACCGUUGCAUGCCAUUCCAAACAAAAAAACAAGGCAAUCUAGUGUGUUUGACAUAUAUUCUUGCUCUGUCAAUUGGUGAUGACAUUAUUUAAAUAUUCCCUUUAAACUUGUUUGAGAAUACAUUGGCUGGUGUGUGUUUGAUUGACUGUACUGCGAUUAUUAGUUAUUACAGUUUAUAUGAUUUUUGAUAAUGAACAACAUAAUUAUUUGCAUAUUUGUUAUGGUUGGUAAGGCACUGCUGUUUUGGCAGGACGUCAUAUAUUCUCUUUCUUUCUAUUUUUUUUUUUGGGAAAUAAACAGGAGUUGGUUGUUCUAAAAUUUGUUUUCUUUGGAAUAUAAUACAGUAUAUGCUUGUAUUCUUAUGCAGAGAUCUUUCAGGCAUGACAGAAUCAUGGAAGGUCUUAAUGUUACUGAAGAAAUGUUGAUCUAAAAUAGCAUGAUUAUGUAGUUUUAAUAUAAUAACUGUAAUCAUAAAGAUUUAUAUAUGAUCUAAUGCUUUAAUAUAGUUGUAUGUAGUUGUCUAGUGGAUUAAUUAGAGAAAAUAUUAUCAAAGAAAGUUAAGUAUAGUUAUUUUCUUCUAAUUGUUUCUGUAUAAUCUUUCUAAUUUCAGAAAAUUAAGGAUGGGACUUGAGAAGCUAGCUUGCAAGUUAUGAUUAAACGAGUUUCAAGUAUGGUUCAUAGUCUCUCUCUUUGUUUCUUCUUGGCUGGUUGUUUAUCGAAUACAUUUUAGCGCUCCCUACUGUUUAAAAGGUUCACUUUCAUGAAGAAUAAUAAUAGUAGGUUAUUUUUUUAGCUUCAGUUAUUUUCAUGAAGAAGAUUGUGAGUACUACUUCACUCACAAUCUUCUUGUUUAUCCAUCUAUACUUUUGGUAAAGCUCUAGUUUUUCUCUUUCUCUUUUUCUUUUUUUCUUUUGUCUAUACACUUAUUUUUUCUUUCCUUCCCUCACUUGUGAAUUUGAGUUGGGGAUUUUGUCUUUUAAUAGUUUUUGGUCGUUGAGAUGUACAUUGGUGUUGUUCAAGUUCAAGGUUUCCUCUUUUAACUUUUUUAAUGGAAAUUAAUUCUAGCGUGGCUUUCAAAAUCUCUAAA